AUCACCCUCACCCCCAGAGAUGAGCCCCACCACUGUGGUGUCGUUGGCAAAUUUGAAGAUGGUAUUACUGUGGUGGGCAGGGGUACAAUCAGAGGUAUACAGGGUGUAGAGCACCCAUGGAUCUGUUUGUCAUGUAUGCAAACUGGUAUUUAUCAAAGGUCGGUGGACAGAAUCAAAUGAUGUGACUCUGUACCAAGGGUUAAAGCACUUCAUCACCACUGGGGUGAGUGCAACUGGCCGGCAGUCAUUGAAACUAUUUAUGUGGGGUUUCUUAGUCCAGGUGGUCUUUGAUCCUCCUCCUGUAGUCCAACUUGGCCUCUCUGAUGCCUCUCUUUAGGUUAGCUCUGGCCACACUGUAGAGAGCCAUGUUGCCACACCUGAGGGUGGUGUUCCUUUCCUUCAGUAGCUGCCGAACAUCACGGUUCAUCCAGGGCUUCUGGUUGAGAUAGACCUGGAUGCAUUUGUCCACAGUGACAAUGUCUAUGCAGUUCUUAAUGUAACACAGAACACUGUCCGUGAACACCUCCAGGUCUGGAUGUUCAAAGACAUCCCAGUUAGUCCUGUCGAAACAGUCCUGUAGUUGCUAAGAGGCACUCUCAGGCCACGUUUUUACAGUCUUUGUGAUGGUAAGAGCAUUUUUUUCUGAGGGGGAAUAAGCAGGGAUUAAAAGCAGAGACAUGUGGUCCGACUGGCCCAGGUGUGGUAAUGGUCUAGCCCUGUAGACUAGCUUGAUGUUCGAGUAGACCUUGUCCAGUAUGUUAGCUCCUCUAGUAGCACACUUUACAUGCUGAUGAAAUCUAGGAAGAACUGACCUUAGAUCUGCAUGAUUAAAGUCCCCUGCUAGGAUAUGCACAGCAUCAGGACACAUGCUUUGCUGACUGCUUAUACUGCCAUGUAAAAGUCUGAUAGCCGAGUUAGCAUCCGGUGGGAUGUAAACAGCAGUUAUCCUAACCACAGUGAACUCUCUCGGGAGGUAAAUGGGCCUGCAUUUAACAGUCAUAUACUCCAGGUCUGGGGAGCAGUGACUGUCUACAGUUACGGUGUUAGUAAACCAGUUGUUAUUGACAAACACAUAGCCCCCCUCCCCUGCUUUUAUCAGAGUCCCUUGUCUUGUCAUGACGCAGUGCUGUGUAGCCUACUAGCUCAAUAGCAGAGUCCGUAAUGAAUGAAUGAAGGCAGGUCUCUGUGAUCAACAGAAUGCAGCUGUACUUCAUGAUGUAGUUAGUUGCAACCUGUAGCCUCAGCUCAUCCACCUUGUUGGUGAGUGAUCUGGCAUUUGUCAGAAAAAGGCUGGGAAGCAGUGGUCUGUGUGGCUGCCUCCGUAGCCUAGCUGGCGUGCCGGCCCUACAAGACUUGCUUUUGCUUCCACUUGCACCUCCGCCACAUUACUAUGGGGAUGGUAAUCCACGGAGAGCCCGGGCUUCUUGCUAAACUCGGCUGUAACACUCUGCUCAUAAC
ensembl:lncRNA